rnacentral:rRNA from 1 species
CCUACGGGGGGCAGCAGUAGGGAAUAUUGCUCAAUGGGGGAAACCCUGAAGCAGCAACGCCGCGUGGAGGAUGAAGGUUUUAGGAUUGUAAACUCCUUUUGUGCGAAAAGAUACUGACGGUAUCUCACGAAUAAGCACCGGCUACAUCCGUGCCAGCAGCCGCGGUCAUACGGAGGGUGCACGCGUUACUCGGAAGCACUGGUCGUAAAGAGUGCGCAGGAGGGCUUGUAAGGCAGAUGUGAAAUCCUGUAGCUUAAAUACAGAACUGCAUUUGAAACUAUGAGUCUAGAGUGUGGGAGAGGUAGGUGGAAUGCUUGGUGGAGGGGUAAAAUCCGUAGAUAUCAAGAGGAAUACUCAUUGCGAAGGCGACCUACUGGAACAUUACUGACGCUCAUGCACGAAAGCGUGGGGAGCAAACAGGAGUAGAUACCCCUGUAGUC